GUGGAAUAGCUGCGCAUGCUGCAGGCUGGGGGAAGGUGCCUUGGCAGAGCCGGGUGCUGGGGUGUGGAAUAGCUGCACAUGCUGCAGGCUGGGGGAAGGUGCCUUGGCAGAGCCGGGUGCUGGGGUGUGGAAUAGCUGCACAUGCUGCAGGCUGGGGGAAGGUGCCUUGGCAGAGCCGGGUGCUGGGGUGUGGAAUAGCUGCACAUGCUGCAGGCUGGGGGAAGGUGCCUUGGCAGAGCCGGGUGCUGGGGUGUGGAAUAGCUGCGCAUGCUGCAGGCUGGGGGAAGGUGCCUUGGCAGAGCCGGGUGCUGGGGUGUGGAAUAGCUGCACAUGCUGCAGGCUGGGGGAAGGUGCCUUGGCAGAGCCGGGUGCUGGGGUGUGGAAUAGCUGCACAUGCUGCAGGCUGGGGGAAGGUGCAUUGGCAGAGCCGGGUGCUGGGGUGUGGAAUAGCUGCACAUGCUGCAGGCUGGGGGAAGGUGCAUUGGCAGAGCCGGGUGCUGGGGUGUGGAAUAGCUGCGCAUGCUGCAG